GUGGUGUGUUUUGUCUUGCUUUGAAUAGAUUCAAAGAGCAAAUUCAGAAUGUAACCUCUGAAAAGGAACGUCUGGAAACCAAACUGAAAACAGCCCUGGAUCAUGUCGAUCAGCUGCAGUCUCAACUUCUGAGUUAUGAGAAGGAAAUUGAAGACCUGGUUCAUUCGAACCGUGACAAGACUAAGCAGUGUGAAAGUUUAAAGGAGGAGAAUAACCAGUUAUGCAUGACUAUAACUCAGGAGGUAAAACCUUCCCUGAAUAUCAUGAUACUUGGGGAAGCCAGGGAAGAAGCUGAGUGGUGUCCUUUGCAGUGACUAGAAAGAGCAAAAGAAAGAACUUAAAAAUUGCCUGGAGCACUUGAAGGGAGCAGAGGCCAACCUGACACUUCGUCUGCAGAACGAACAGCGACAAAACAGUGACUUAAUGAAAGAGCUUGAGGAGCAGAAGCGUUUGUUUCAGACUUUGCAAGCAAAAAGAAGGAAUCUGAUGAGGAAAAUCAGAAACUAAGGAAAGAGAAGGAUUCCUUUCUGAGGCGUCUCUCUCAUCCUAGAGACGUUUCUUCCUCUGUUUCACAAGCCCAAGCUUUUGUUCCAGCUCCUGAAGACUUUGUAUUUGGAAAUCCAUAUCAUGCUGCAGGAGCAAACCAGGAGGCAAGAGCCACAGGAAUAGAUUCUAUCAGGAAAUGCCCCAUAUGCAAUGACAUUUUUCCUGAUGAUAUCGAAACAAGAGACUACGAGGCCCAUGUGCAGAGCCAUCUUCUGGAGUGCCCAGUCUGCAAUGAAGCCUUUGAAAAGUCUAAUCAGCAGGUGUUUGAUGACCAUAUGCUUUGCCAUAGCCUGGAAUGAUUCUGAAUCCUUAUCUGUUCUGCAGAAUAGGUGGCAGAGGCUGCAGCUUAGAACAGACCAAAAUUAUUCUAGGGACUUGAUCUAUGCUAGUAAGAAAUGGAAUUGUCAUCCUCUUAAGUCCUCUGUCUUGGAUCAAACAACUGUGCUUGCUAAAUGAGUUACAAAUCCUGUUAUUAAUAACUAUUUAUCCAGGUAGGGCCAAAUAAUAGAUCUAGUACAGCAGUUUUCUGUACUCAGCUGAUACAGGUCUGCUAUAAUGGUUUUAUUAUUCAGUAGAGCACUGUGAUUGCUAACCAAAGAGCAGAAGUAUUGCAUAGUCUUUUAGGACCAUACCUUCAGUCUGGUUCAGCUUCUGGAAUAUGGAGUUAAAUACUAAUAAAUACAAAAGUCUAAAUAAGAAUACAUUUUCUUUUCUUCUUUUGCCUUUACCCAUAAAAAAAAGUGAAAUAUAUAUUUAUAAAGAAACUACUUAUUUGCAGAUCUAAAGGUCUAGGGCUCUUCUUACAGCAGAGUAGGCAGCAUAGCUUAGUGUAGAACAAGGUGCAUGCACUGUUGUCCCUUUUUUCCUGUAUGACCAGACUGAAAGCAAAUGGUGAUAUAAACAAUCUGUGCUUGUGCAGUCACUCUGACACUGUCACGCGUCCAUCUCAUGGUGAGGGAACCCUGAUGUUUAUGAAACAGGAAAAGUCAGAAUGGCCUGGAGCCCAUAGGAAAGCAGUAGCUGAGUUGUCAUGACAGUGCUGAGGAUAAAUGGGCUCUCAGUCUUGAAACUGGGCAUCCUCAUUUAAAGGAAGUGAUGAAAACCUUCAUGACUUAAAAUGAAGAGCCUGUUCUCAAACUAAAACAUUGUGAUUGAAAACUGCUAAGUGCCUUGGGACAUUACAGUGCUUUGAGGAUGGAUUAUCCAGUUACUAUUUUUAUUUCUGCUUUGGGAUUUUCAAGUUAUGAUUAACAGUUCUUUUGUCCAUGCACAUACAAAUGGGUGAAGUUUUAUUAUCCAGCUGUAUUAGACGUUUCCUGCUGAAUAUCUGAAGCAAGAGAAAAUCAUAAGAAGUUUACAUAGAAUUUUAAGACUAUUAAGAGUAACAAAGACUUCAAAAUAUUUUGAUUCUACACAUAAUUUUUUUUUUAAUCUAGGUUUAAAUGGAGUAUUUCUGUCUUUAAGAUGUACUAUACUGGUAAGCAUUAUUUUAAAAAUCUGUAAUAGAAAAUAAGAGCAGAUGAAAAAUAAAAGCUGUAUUGAGAAAGUCCUUGAAAAAGAUGUCAAGUUAUUUAAGUAAAUUGGAGGAAUUGUUGGUGUCUUAAUGGAGCUAUUUGCAAGCCUUCUGUUACUUUCUGAAGCUUUUCUCUAACAAAGUACUUAAGCACAUCUCUGAAUAACUUCUAGCAUAUAAUGUGAUAUCUCAAAGGUUAGUGGGACUGCUGCUGUUUAAUGGCAUAUAUUUAACUGGCAGAUCUUCACUGGCUUCUCUCAGCAUGGGAAUAUAUCAAGAAAGCCAAAGGACAGGAUGUUAUUUGUUACUAUAAUGUAUAUCAACAUUGCUUAUGUAUCUUUAUCCCAAUUUUGGCAGUCAAAUAUUCUGUCAUCACGAGGCUAAUUUUUAACUGAGCGCCUGUUUUUCUCAGGAAAUAUCCCAUUGUUUUUCAAGAAUGCUCCCACCCCAAAGCUUUUCCACACAUCCUCAUUUAAAAUUACGUUUUCAUUCUUUUCCUGCUUUACAUCUUGACAGAAGCAGAUGAAAUGCAGAGAGUCACAGGAGCAGUCUUUACUAAAACUCCAGUGGUUCACCCAAAUACCACUUACCAGACCUGCUCAUUUUCUCCACUGUUGUUAACGCUGGCUUUAGCAGCUCAAAUCCUAAAGCCUAACCCUGUCAUUUGUGGUUAGUUGUGUUACAGUGUUAGCUAUGUCCUGGAGCUACUGGUGCCCAGUGUUGAUGUUGCUUCCAUCUCUUGUACUCUGGUACUACCAUUUUCUGCUUGCCAGCUCCUACCAUCUCCACAAAACCUCAGAGCCUGUUUUGAGGUGCCAGCCCUAGGACACAGACAGCAAGCAGGUGGCCGGCAGAGGGGGUCAGAUUGCAAUAAAUCUCGUGAGGAUGCUGCAUUUUAAAGCAUUUUAAGGUAUGCCAUUUGUUUUCUGUAAUAAUGAUCCAGAUUCAGACUUCCAAGACACAUAAUAUACUUCUGCCUGAUGCAUCCUGAGCAGCCAGGGACCAAUUUACCUCCAAGAACAAACUACACUGUAUUUUCUAAGCAAAUUUUCAUUUUAUGUGUAAUUUACAGCUUUAUUUAUGUUACUGAUGCAUUUAACGUUCGGAAUUGCAGUAUGUUUCAACCGUAUCUCAAUUGUAUGGUUUAAAACAGAAAUAGCUCAAAUGGUUGAUAAUUAGAUAUAAUUAUACUUUGGAUGAGAUCUAAUUUACAUUGAUAUGUGUUGCAUAAGGACCUUGAAAUAAAUUUUCAAAAGUGAC
ensembl:lncRNA